CUAGUUGUGUUCUUAUCCUCUGCGUAAGGCCCUUAUACUGUGAGUAGCUGGAAACCAGACACAGAGGAACAUUCCACGCUGGCUCCAGGAGUUCAGUCUGAGGGAAUGUUCUUCACAGCAGAGGCUUCAUGCUGCUAAAGCGUCCUUUGAUGCAUAAAAGUUGGGGGUGAGAAGAAAGAUCCAGGGAAAAUAUUCUAGGAACGGCAUCACAGAAAUGCCAAAGGGAGAGACAAACAAGUCUGUGAUUGUCCGUGAAGAACCUCCAGAGAUUAUGCAUGAAUUCACUAUUUCUGUAUGACCCGGGCCUUGCAGAUGGCCUGUGGCCACAAGAUCUCCAUUUUGUCAGCAGUCAGUGACACAGAGAGAAACUUCUCUCUGCUUUCAACCCUAUGAUGCAAUCGUCACUGCAGCACCACACACUCAGGACUGCCUUCUUCCUCCCAAGAGCCCACACUGCUAUUCACUGCUUAUGGCUUCGCUGUCUUCAACCUCUGAAGCCAUGCGAAGGAAAGAAACAUUUAACCGUCAACAGCAUCCAGCUAAUACUCACUGAUCUGCACAUGGGCUUGGAAGGCAGCUGACGAGAUCAAAGAAGAAAAGAAAGCGCUGGAGUCCCAACUUUUUAACAGGUUCUUCCAAACACCUCUUACUUCCUGCUUGGCUUCUCUCCAGAAACUCUUUGUUGUACCCAUAGCCUGUAGGUCUGACAUUUUCUUCCUUGGUUGGCUGUCUUCUUAGAGUGUCUACCUAUAGUCCUUAGACUGACCCCUCAUACAGCCCUUGACUAAAGUAACAUCUCUUGAUAAGAAUCUCUAGCUAGUCUUACCUUUGUAUGCAUAUCCUAAUACAGUUACUCACUCUCUGCAGGCCCCAUCAGAUCCUAGAUAAUAUGGGCCAUAGCAUUCAACUUCCUAUCUCUCUCUAGUAUCUGGAUCAAAUUUACCUUAUACAUCCCCCAAUUCAUAAUGUCUAGUAGUGGGUAGACCUUAUACAUCCUCCAGAAUAAGACAGGACCACUGCUGAGUCUCCUCUCCUUAAGACUACCAGUGGAGUCUGAUUCUCAGAGAGAGACACCAGGCUCUCACCAGAAACUGAGUUUCCUGGCACCUUGAUCCUGGGCUUUUUGGUUUCUCAUCUAGCAUUCUAUUUCUGUUCUUCACAAAUCAUCUAGUCAUGGAUACUUUGUUACAGCAGCAUGAACACACGAAGAUGUUGCACAAUAUGCAUUUGACUGACAAACAAAGAGGCAAUUGGAGCUGCUCUGCCAGGGGAAGGCGUUGGUGAAGGGAAUCUUUAGGAAGUCCCAGAGACCUGAGAUGAGGAGGCUCGCAGGUGUCAUUGCAGAGAUUCCUAACAGUGGGGACAUGGAACCUGAAGAGGCCAC
rnacentral:sRNA from 1 species